AAUUAUAUGAUCGAAAACUAGAUAGUAAGUUGUAAACUUAUAAAUGAAUUAUUAUAUUCUAUAAUUA
rnacentral:tRNA from 1 species